UGGGGUAUAGCUCAGUGGUAGAGGGCAUGUUAGCAUACAUGAGUACGCAUGAGGUCCUGGGUUCAAUCCCCAGUGCCUCCA
rnacentral:tRNA from 1 species